CGAGAGGUAUUAUUGAACGACGAAGGGAUCUAAUUAAGGACAUGUUUGAUUUGGGGUGACUAAACUUUAGGAACCUAAAUUUUAGUCACCUUUAGUCCCUAAAAUACCAAACAUGAUGACUAAAAGGUUUAGUUACUAAAAUUUAGUCCUUUAGUCCUAAAGAGUGGCUAAAGGGGAUUAAAGGGCUUUGUUCAACUGCUUUAAUGGUCUUUAGUCACUAGAACUAAAUAGGGACGAUUAAAGUUUAAUCCAGUAUCCGGAAGCGACUAAACUUUAAUUUAGGGACUAAAGGACUAAAUAGGACCUAAAGGCACAACAUCUGGUGUCAAGGAGAUGUUUAGUCAUGCAGCAAGCUAACUUGUGCGUUUAAGGCCUUGUUUAGUUCACCCCAACUCCCAACUUUGGCACUAUGCAAAAAGAAGAUUCCCCAUCAUAUCAAACUUGCG
rnacentral:lncRNA from 1 species